CAAAGAUUAAGCCAUGCAUGUCUAAGUAUAAGCAAUCUAUACGGUGAAACUGCGAAUGGCUCAUUAAAUCAGUUAUCGUUUAUUUGAUAGUACCUUACUACUUGGAUAACCGUGGUAAUUCUAGAGCUAAUACAUGCUAAAAAUCCCGACUUCGGAAGGGAUGUAUUUAUUAGAUAAAAAACCAAUGCCCUUCGGGGCUCCUUGGUGAUUCAUAAUAACUUAACGAAUCGCAUGGCCUUGUGCCGGCGAUGGUUCAUUCAAAUUUCUGCCCUAUCAACUUUCGAUGGUAGGAUAGUGGCCUACCAUGGUUUCAACGGGUAACGGGGAAUUAGGGUUCUAUUCCGGAGAGGGAGCCUGAGAAACGGCUACCACAUCCAAGGAAGGCAGCAGGCGCGCAAAUUACCCAAUCCCGACACGGGGAGGUAGUGACAAUAAAUACUGAUACAGGGCUCUUUUGGGUCUUGUAAUUGGAAUGAGUACAAUUUAAAUCCCUUAACGAGGAACAAUUGGAGGGCAAGUCUGGUGCCAGCAGCCGCGGUAAUUCCAGCUCCAAUAGCGUAUAUUAAAGUUGUUGCAGUUAAAAAGCUCGUAGUUGAACCUUGGGCCUGGCUGGCCGGUCCGCCUCACCGCGUGCACUGGUCCGGCCGGGCCUUUCCUUCUGUGGAGCCGCAUGCCCUUCACUGGGUGUGUCGGGGAAACAGGACUUUUACUUUGAAAAAAUUAGAGUGUUCAAAGCAGGGCUAUGCUCGAAUAC
rnacentral:rRNA from 1 species